GAGAAGUGACAGUGAAGAUCUGAUCGGGAGAGUAUACAAGAGAUCUCAUCGUUGUGACAUUCCACAUUGUCUCCAGUUUGGGACAAUCACUCAAUUACAAUAUGUGAGUCUUGAGAAUGUGGCAAUGUAAAGUGUGUGGCACAGAAGUAUCCAGUAGGAGGAAGACGAAUGGUGACCCUGAAGAGGCACAUCCUCAUUUAAGAAAAAAGAAAGAUGUCGAGUCCAGUCAAUCUAAGGAUUGUUUUUGGUGGGGAUGAAGAUGCAAGAAAGCUUGCACUUAAGACAGGAAUCCCAAAGUCUGUGGAUGAACUUGUCCUUGAAAUAAUGACUGUUUUUGGUGUAAAGCAAAAGUUCAGGCUCCAGUACAAAGAUAAGGACUUUGGAAAUGAAUACAUGAAUCUCACAUCAACCACUCAAAUUGAAGACAGGGAUACCCUGAAAGUGAUUUUUCUGUCAACUGAUGACUUUAACUCCUGCAUGCAUGAGACUGCACCUGAUGUACCGUCCUGUUCCAGCAUUCUUGUUCCUUUGCACAAGACAACCUGUAGCUCUGACUCUCCUAACACAAGACAUGCUAGCCCUUGUGAAUUUGACUCAGUCUCAGAAGUCUACUUGUCUGAGGACUCAUUUUCCAGCAGCACCGAGACUGUCUUGAUUAAGUCUCCGGAGUCAAGAACCAGUUCUUGGCCUCAGGUUUUUGUAAUUCCUCGUUUUUCUUGUUCUGCUGAAAUUCAGCUUCAGAGAGCUGACACAGAGUUCAACAAAAGUGAAAUGCUACUUAUUCCACCACCAAAAUUAAGAUCUGACAUUCUUGAAGGCAUGGCUGAGGAGAUCUUUAGGUAUGCUGCAUACCCCACUGAUAGUCAGCUUGAUCAGGCAGCUGAAGCCUUGAUAAAUGUCCACCCUUGCUUGAGGGAAAAGGGAACUCGCACUGGUCAUGAAGGAUGGAAACACUAUCUAAAGAUAAAGAUGGCUAAUUUCCGCUCAAAACUCAGCAAGAUUGGACACCCAGAAAUCACUGUAAAUUCACUUAGGAACAAGCGUGAAGGUCGGGGUAAAGCAGCAUCAAACAUCAAAAA
rnacentral:lncRNA from 1 species